CCAGGCCCCAUCAGAGGUUGUGAAAGCAGUGAACAAUUUCUCAGGAAAUUAGACUCUCUCUCUAGUGGAGCUGCCUGCAGGGUUAAGCAGAAAACUCUAGAGAUGCAACUCCCAAGAGUCAUCACCCAGGGCAAGCCUUUCCGUGACACAGCUAGCUAGCUGUCUUUGAGUCAUCCAUACUCUGUAAGCAACCCCAAUAGCCUCAUUGGAUAAACAAGCUAGGCCUGGGUAGAAUCCUUUCUCUGUCAUUGGCGCAGGACCUAGGGUGAAUACAUGUCUUUUCACAACUCCCCAGAAAAAGCACAGAACAAUUUUGUGUUUAUUCUUCAAACAUUUUAAGAGCUAUGUCCUUCUUCAGCGAAUAUUUUUUGCCAUUUCUUACCCUCACCCAUCUCAUUUCUUACCCACACCUAUCUCCCUCCCAUUUCCUUUGCAUGAACUGUGACUCUUCUCCAGGAAUGGGCAGCAAUUCUGAUGAACACGCAUGAAAUUAUAAAGAGACACAUACAGAAGAGCCAACAAAGACGUUUUUAUGCAGUGCUUCCUGGGGCUUUUGUGCUAAUGACAAGGGUGGUUAUAAAAUGUUCUUCAAUUUCUACACAUCUUCUAAAAGGGUGUGGAAGCAAAAAGGUAUUUCUUCCACUUAAUGAAUAAGAUGAAAUCUUCAGAUUCACAAACUGACAUCUUAUGAAAACAAAUGAGCUACAGCUACACAUUCAAAUGUUAAUGGGAUCAAGAACAAGGACAGUCAACAGGAAUGUGCUCUUCCUAUUGUAGGGAAAAUUUACCCAGUAAAAUAACUGCAACAAUCUGAAAUUCCAUGCUAUUUAAUUAGUUCCCCAAAUGCUCAUGAGCAAGUACCUCCUCCUGAGAACAAUGAGUACCUCAAGGGGGUGAAUUGCUUGCUUCCCAAAAGGUUGUUAAUUGUCAAGAUUUACUGAAAAACCUUCACCUUGCUGUAUCCACUAUUCCUAAACUAUUAUAUUGGCUACAUUCCCCAGUCCCAACUAGACCUCAUUAUUGAAAUACCCACCAAAAAUCCAAGCUCCAAAAUUUUGUGAAUCUAUGACCUUCAUUUCCCCAACCCAAGAUAUUAUUAAGAUUCUUUCAGAAAGACACUCCAUUUUUUGUAAAAUUCAAUUUGUUUACUCAGUUUAUUUCAAUGGCCUUUGGAAGAAAGUGUGUAUCAAUAGAGAGAGGCCAUGAAAACCUCCUUUCUUCUAGGAUUUUGAUAAGUUUCCCCAUAUUGACCAGUUCAACGUGGCCUCCCAAAAAUUAUUCUGAUAUGUUAUAUUGUUGAUACUCUGUGAACAAUAAACUAUCCUCUGAUCCAACAGUCUGUAUCCUGAGAUAAUAUUUACCAAAGAAGAGUCUAAUAUCUUACCUUCCACAUAGCAUAGAAUCUUAGACCCUUCGUAGCUCUAGACAGGAUGUUGCAUUGGAAAAUAAAAAUGCAUGUGAUAAUAUUCAUAACUGACUUU
rnacentral:lncRNA from 1 species